GCCGGGGCGUCCCCCGCGGGAGCCCGCAGCCACCCGGGACGCGCAUCCAGACGUGGCGCUUCGGACCGGGCACGCUGCGCCCGGGGGCUCGGCGGACCCCGCGUAGCCGCCGCUUCGGAGCUUGUGCGGCGCGGGCUGGCCAGCGGGGCGGCCAGGGCCCGGCCCGCCUCCCCAGCGCCCGCCCGGCUUCUCCCCCUGGCGGUGGGAGCCUCGGCGGCCGCUGGCGACACUAGGCGCACUGAAGCCCGAGCCGAGCCGAGCCCGAGCCGCCGCCGCCGCCGCCGCUGCUGCGCACCGCUCCCGGGCUCCCUCCCAGCGCGCCGGCCGGGGUGUGGGGGGCGGCGGGCCGGAGGGGCGAGGGCGGGCCAGGGGGCGCACACGGGGGUUGGCGCGGAAGACAGGACCCUCAGCCUCGAGGGAGCCCCUAGGUGACCAGGCAAAAUGGCAGUUCCUUCCAGCUGGUCCUCAGAUGGGCACAUCUAUUAGCCUCUGCUCUUGUAAGAAGUUAGCUGCAGAACCCACAUGUGAAUCCUUGUAGUGCUUUAUCAAAUUUCUACUAUGAACUAAGAACUGAGUGCUAUGGGAGACACAAAGGAGAGUCAGGACUCUGGAGAAGAUCAAAUGGGAGCUUAGAUGUGGAAGCUCUUUGGAAACCAAGAAACACUCUGAAAAUGAAAAGGGAACAGUUUGUGGACUUGCGCUGGCCCUUGGACCACACUUCGAGUGACAUUGUUAUAGAUGACACGGUCUCUUAUAGGAAAAUGCACAGUCUUUCUUAGAUUCUCUACCUCCCUCUUCCAUCUCAUUCCCAACAUAGAUCUGGGUACAUGAGUGGGGUCUUAUUAUAAUCUUGUGACACCCUUGGAUCAUGCACUACCCUCUAAAUAAUCAAUAGUUUCUACUAUAGAGAGGCUCAAUUUAUCUUCUCCCUGGAAUUGGGACCACUGAAAUAUAACUAGAACCCAACUGAUCUUUUGAGAUGUUGUGUGCUUGCCCUUACUGCUACUGCCGUAGUUCUGAACAUUUCCCCAAGCAUCAAAAAGGCCCCAUGGCCUCUUUUCCCCUAGACCUCUGCCAGUCCACCAACACUCUCAGUGGGGAAGUAAGAAGCCUGGUGGAUCCUGCUUCCCACACAAAGGCCAUGAUGAGACAGAUGCUUUCUAAGUCCGAUAUAUCUACCCACUUUCUGCUGUCACCUCUGUACCUCCUGAGUCACAUGGAAUGUGGUGCUGAGCCAAAUGGUCAGUCUUCUAGAAGCAGUGGAAUGUUGGAGGCAGCUUAUACCUUAGCUGAUUCUUAAAUUUUCAGGAAUUUUGUGAGCCAGUUUUUAAACACAGCCAUUGUUGAAAAUUAAACAAUAUAAACUUAUAAUCAAAUAUAUUAAAAAUAAAGAUAAU
rnacentral:lncRNA from 1 species